UACGUAGGGGGCAAGCGUUGUCCGGAUUUAUUGGGCGUAAAGAGCGUGUAGGCGGUUUGGUAGGUCCGCUGUGAAAACUCGAGGCUCAACCUCGAGACGCCGGUGGAAACCAUCAGACUAGAGUCCGGAAGAGGAGAGUGGAAUUCCUGGUGUAGCGGUGGAAUGCGCAGAUAUCAGGAGGAACACCAAUGGCGAAGGCAGCACUCUGGUACGUGACUGACGCUGAGACGCGAAAGCGUGGGGAGCAAACAGG
rnacentral:rRNA from 1 species